rnacentral:rRNA from 1 species
AACGAACGCUGGCGGCAUGCCUAACACAUGCAAGUCGAACGAACCCUUCGGGGUUAGUGGCGCACGGGUGCGUAACGCGUGGGAACCUACCAUCAGGUUCGGAAUAACAGUUAGAAAUGACUGCUAAUACCGGAUAAUGUCUUCGGACCAAAGAUUUAUCGCCUUUUGAUGGGCCCGCGUAAGAUUAGGUAGUUGGUGGGGUAAAAGCCUACCAAGCCGACGAUCUUUAGCUGGUCUGAGAGGAUGAUCAGCCACACUGGGACUGAGACACGGCCCAGACUCCUACGGGAGGCAGCAGUGGGGAAUAUUGGACAAUGGGCGAAAGCCUGAUCCAGCAAUGCCGCGUGGACGAUGAAGGCCUUAGGGUUGUAAAGUCCUUUCGCUGGGGAAGAUAAUGACUGUACCCAGUAAAGAAGCCCCGGCUAACUCCGUG